CCCGCCUGCCCAGUGACAGUGUUUAACGGCCGCGGUAUUUUGACCGUGCAAAGGUAGCACAAUAAAUUGUCUCUUAAUUGGAGAACGGUAUGAAUGGCAUCACGAGGGCUUAACUGUCUCCCCUCUAAAGUCAAUGAAAUUGAUCUCCCCGUGCAGAAGCGGGGAUACACUCGUAAGACGAGAAGACCCUAUGGAGCUUUAGACAUAAGCCAGCCCACGUCAAACGCCCCCAGUAAAGGAAAUGAACAAAAUGGCCCCUGAUGGUAUGUCUUCGGUUGGGGCGACCACGGAGAAAGACAAAACCUCCACAUGGACUGGGGCUACUACGCCCUAAAACACAGACCCACAGGUCAAAUAAACAGUACAUCUGACCAUAAAAGAGCCGGCAUAAGCCGAUCAAUGGACCAAGUUACCCUAGGGAUAACAGCGCAAUCCUCUCAAAGAGACCAUAUCGACGAGGGGGUUUACGACCUCGAUGUUGGAUCAGGACAUCCUAAUGGUGCAGCCGCUAUUAAGGGUUCGUUUGUUCAACGAUUAACAGUCCUACGUGAUCU
rnacentral:rRNA from 1 species